rnacentral:rRNA from 1 species
CAGUAGCCGCGGGAAUACGAAGGGUGCAAGCGUUACUCGGAGUUACUGGGCGUAAAGCGUGCGUAGGUGGUGGUUUAAGUCCGUUGUGAAAGCCCUGGGCUCAACCUGGGAAUUGCAGUGGAUACUGGAUCACUAGAGUGUGGUAGAGGAUAGCGGAAUUUCCGGUGUAGCAGUGAAAUGCGUAGAGAUCGGAAGGAACAUCUGUGGCGAAGGCGACUAUCUGGGCCAACACUGACACUGAGGCACGAAAGCGUGGGGAGCAAACAGGAUUAGAUACCCCUGUAGUCCCUGUCUCUUAUAC